rnacentral:rRNA from 1 species
CCUACGGGAGGCAGCAGUGAGGAAUAUUGGUCAAUGGCCGGAAGGCUGAACCAGCCAUGCCGCGUGAAGGUCAGUGCCCUAUGGGCGUUAAACUUCUUUUGUGCGGGAGCAAUAAUGGUCACGUGUGGCCAGACGAGAGUACCGUACGAAUAAGCAUCGGCUAACUCCGUGCCAGCAGCCGCGGUAAUACGGGGGAUGCAAGCGUUAUCCGGAUUUAUUGGGUUUAAAGGGUGCGUAGACGGCAGUGCAAGUCUGGAGUGAAAGGCGGGGGCUCAACCCCCGGACUGCUCUGGAAACUGUACGGCUGGAGUGCAGGAGAGGUAAGUGGAAUUCCUAGUGUAGCGGUGAAAUGCAUAGAUAUCACGCAGAACCCCGAUUGCGAAGGCAGCAUGCCGGCUUCCGACUGACGCUGAAGCACGAAAGCGUGGGGAUCGAACAGGAUUAGAUACCCGUGUAGUC